rnacentral:lncRNA from 10 species
GCGGAGACAUCUGAAGCUUCUAUUCCUUGUAUGUCCAGCUUUGAGGCUGGAACACCUGCAGGCUGUUGGAUCUUUCUCUCUCCAAUGGUCUCAAUGUGUGGCUAGCUUGGUCUUGUGCACAGCAUGGGGGUGUCUCAUGUUGUGAAGAAGUGGAAGUAGUAGUCCGUUUUCUCAUAUGGCAGCUUGUUUCCCUCCUGAGGAAAUGCUAUAAGAGACCAAGGUAGGAUCCUGAUUGUUACACGAACUGUCCACCUCCAUCCAGAGCCGUGUGGCUUGUAGUGCCUUCUCGUGGCAGGUAUAUUUUCCUGCCUGUUCACGUGACUUGUGUUGGCCAGUGGAAUAUAGUUUGAUCUGCAGUAGUUUGAAUCUGAGGAUGCUGAACCUGUGGAUAAGGAGAGCCUACUUUUCUUGGACAAAUGCCCUGUGUCAGAAGAGUGUGGUAAACAGAAGCUCAGCUCCUUCAAGGAUGACAGCCUUGGUUACACCACCAGGAAAAGAGACCAAAGUCAGGGAGCAGUCGUUUUCACAUGGGAUGAACUCAGUGUAAGAGGCAAGCAGAUUGUGGAAGAUUAGAAGAUAAUGGAUACUAUUAUUCCAUCCAGAUUCCUCUUCAGGACCAAGGACUCAUUUUCCAGCUGGCAGGAAUGUUAGCUACUGACGGCCAUGGCUGAGUUCCUCUUCAGGAAUUAUCCUCCACUUGAGGGGAAUUGCUUUGUUCAGUGUUACACUCCCUCUAUAGUGGCAGCCCACACUGGUUGAUGUGGGGUACAAAGUCCUGGACCUUGUCUUAGAUGGGAUAGUUCUGAAGGGCUAUUCCAGCUCCAGAACUCCUCAUAGGAUUGGCUGAGGUCUCCUCUGCAACUGGAUCACAGUUCAACUUUUUCUUCUGCCCAGUCCUUCUUCUCUCAUCUGUUGCCAGUUUUAUUCGUGAGUGUGUUUCCCAAUAAACCCCCUGCAUGCAAAUCUCAGAGUCUGUUUCCUAGGGAACUCAGCCUAUGUUGGCUAGUGAAAGAAACUUUUAUAUGUAUUUGGAAUAAGCCUUCGGAAGUAUAUACAGGUUAGCUACCUCUACCCUAAGUGAGUGUGAGUGACUAAUGCUAUCCAGUUAUGGAUGAAGGAAAAACUGUAAAAUGGAAUGUCGUUCCAAAGAAUCAAAAUGAUUUGUUAUUCUCAGGAAAAUCCCUUCAUUUGAUCAUGAAUAAAGAUGAAUAGAACUUUUAAGAAUAGAAAGCCCCUUAAAA